UAGGGAAUCUUCGGCAAUGGACGAAAGUCUGACCAAGCAACGCCGCGUGAGUGAAGAAGGUUUUCGGAUCGUAAAACUCUGUUGUUAGAGAAGAACAAGGACGUUAGUAACUGAACGUCCCCUGACGGUAUCUAACCAGAAAGCCACGGCUAACUACGUGCCAGCAGCCGCGGUAAUACGUAGGUGGCAAGCGUUGUCCGGAUUUAUUGGGCGUAAAGCGAGCGCAGGCGGUUUCUUAAGUCUGAUGUGAAAGCCCCCGGCUCAACCGGGGAGGGUCAUUGGAAACUGGGAGACUUGAGUGCAGAAGAGGAGAGUGGAAUUCCAUGUGUAGCGGUGAAAUGCGUAGAUAUAUGGAGGAACACCAGUGGCGAAGGCGGCUCUCUGGUCUGUAACUGACGCUGAGGCUCGAAAGCGUGGGGAGCAAACAGG
rnacentral:rRNA from 1 species